rnacentral:lncRNA from 1 species
GUCACAGAGGAUGCUGACGUCGCUAAUAUUGUUACUGGUGUGGAUGUAGCCUCUGCUUAGUGUUAUAAGCAGUUCGAGGAUGGUGCUUUGGGAUUCAGUAGCAUCUGACCGUGCAAAGGCCCUGAUGGGGAAGCUGUGCGAGAUUUGUUGGGCCACAGAAAGACACACACCAGAUCUGGCCCUUGGUUUUCCACUGUAGCACAAGCGUGGAACCAGGUCACCCUGCUGCUACUCUGAUCUUACCGCUCAUUAAGAUCAUCGUGCUCAUCUGGCUCCUGACGGCUGCAUGCAUCCCCCUGGCCCCUCUGAUGUCAGCGUCUCAUCAUCCCCAUCGCUAUCAGAGAGCCCGGUUGUCUAACAGCAUCUUCUCCCAUGGCCUGAGCCUAAAGAAGACAGCCAACCUCUGAGCUUCUUGGAGAAGAGGAGGCCAUUCACAACAGUACAUUCCUUUCUACUUUGUUGAAUGGAAUGUCCUUCAGGCUCUCCCAUGCAACUUAGCUCUCCAGUGGAGUUUCCACAGAGAGACACCAGCGCUUCAUAAAGAGAAGUGACCACUUCUACAGACUCAGAGAGUUCACAGAAAUAUGAAGAUUCAAGAUCUUCAGGAGCAUCGACCAGACAUUCCCAUCCCAUAUGUUAGGGGCUCAUUCUGCCCCCAGGUAACAUAACAAUGAUUCCACUAAACUAGAAUUUGAGACGUUGGGUUCCAUAUAUCUCUGAAUCAACAGGUAAAGAAGGGGGUGACUGGACUGGCUGGCAUGAUUGAUCGCCACUACCAAGGGGAGUUGAGUUGCUACUACACAAUGGAGGGAAGGAAUGGUGUGUCUAGAAACAAGAGAUCCCUUAGUGUGUCUCUUAGUACCACCAUGUCCAGUGACAAAAGUCAAUAGAAAAUUACAACAGUGUUUUUCUUUCUCUGUCUGACUUUUACGUGACAUGAUGGAGGUGGUAGCUAACCCUAUGGUGGUAAUCAUAUUGCAAUACAUCAGUCUAUCAAAUCAACACACUGUACACCUUAAAGUUACACAAUGUCAUAUGUGAAUUAUAUCUUAAUAAAAUUGGGGGAAAAUGUAAUGAUAUUGAAAAAGAAGAAAAUUACAACAACCCAAUUCAGGGAGGACUGUUAAGGUCCAGACCUUUUAGGAAUGAAAGUUUGGGUCACUCCACCAGGCAAAGAACUACAAUCAGGUGAGGUGCUUGCUG